ensembl:lncRNA
CAGAGACAACGGGCUGCCUCGCUAAACGAUGCACACCUGUAACUCACGUGACCCUGGUUAUUAUUGAAACGAGAACGAGGGCGUCGUGCCUUUAUAAGACUGCGUUAAUGGUUCCGUGGAGUUAUCCCUUCCGUUGUUGUUUAUUGAUUGUUAAACAUGGCUUCAUUUACAAAGGUGGUUGUGUGUGUCCUCAUUGCUUGUGUCUGUAAUGCAUUCGGUUUUCCGAAGAGAGAUGUGAACUUUAAGGCCUCUGCAGUUGACCGCCAAAGUGAUGAUGUGGUUGUCACCACAACAGCCGUUCCCCACAACCAGACCACCUCUGCCCCUACUGAAGCUGGUGAUGGAGCAAGUGAAGAUGCUGUGGCUACUACCCCAGCACCUAAUCCACACAACCAGACAACUUCUGCACAAACUGAAGUUACUGAUGGAGCAGGUGAAGAUGAUUCAGAUGAUGAUGAUGAUGCAGAUGAUGAUGCAAGUGACGAUGAUGCAGAUGAUGAUGAUGCAAGUGAUGAUGCUGUGGCUACCACCCCAACACCAAAUCCACCAACUACAUCUGACCGCACUGCAGCUACCGAUGAUGCAAGUGAGGGUGCUGUGGCUGCCCAAACUGGAACUACUGUAUCCCAUACGACUGAAGUCUGAUUCGACUGCUCCUCUGGUCACAAUGACCUGUCUGGACUUUUUGCCUCUACAUGUUCACUGCAAUAAAGGACAGAUUUGUAUUUUUUUUUUAAUCAAAUGUUGUCUUGCCUUUUUCAAAUUGAGGCCUUGUCCUGUUUUGGUAGUGGAGAUAACUGACGCCUCUUUCCUAACGCACUACAUUUCUGGCAACUUAUAAUGCAUAGUGAACAUGUAAUAAUUCGGUGGUAUGAUCCCAGGAGAACAUUUUUAAGAAACAAAUCACAGAAUUGUGGUUCCUCGCCGUUUUUUUUUUAAUAUAAAUCGAGGCUUUCCUCAUAAUACCGCAAGAACAAAAAGGAAAUAAAAACUAAACGAGUCAAUUCCUCAAAAUGAUAUGAAUUGCUACUGCUGCACUCGUAAAACUUCUAACUAAACUGAAAUUAAAAACCAAACUGAAA